UACUUUAUCCUGCUGAAGUUG
rnacentral:piRNA from 1 species